UCCCUAUGGCUAAUUAAUCCAUUCUUAUACCUUUAAAUGAUACAAACAUUUGUCUGUGACAUGGACCUCUCUCCAAGAUCAAGAUCAUUUCCAAUCUUCCAUACUCACCAUCGCUACAUGGAUCUCUGGGUAUCUCAAGCUCUAUAUGUAUCCUAAAUGGAAUCCAUGAUCUUCUCCCUUCAAAUACUGUUCUCUUCAAUUUUCCUCACCUCUUAGAAUCAUAUUACCAUCCUUUCUGUUGUCUAAGACAGGACUCUAGAAAUUACCUGUAACUCCCCUUCAUCCUAAUCAUCAUCAAGCCUUGAUGAUUUUAUCUCCUCUCUAGCUCCACUGGAUACUUUAUUUCAGCCCCUUACAAAAUACCCACUUUAAAAAUAAUUCCAGAAAAAAACACAACCCACCAAACAACCAACCCCCAAAACACCAAAAACUCCUCAAAACUACAAGGAGACCUGAAUAUCCACUCUGAAUUUCUGUAUCAAUGCUCCUCCAUCUUGGCUCUGCACGAGAAUCACAUUUUAUUUCUGAUUUCCAGGCCAUAUCCCAAAGUAGGUUAGAGUCCCUAGGGGUACAACUCGGGCAUCUUCUGGAGGCCCUGAUAUGUAACCAAGAUGGAGGAAAACUGUUAGACUUCAGGUGAGAAGCUGGACCCUAAUGUUGGAACAACAGUUGACAGGGCAGAUAGAUUGUAGAGCUCUGUUACCAUCAUCUGACUUUUAGCUGAAAACUCUUCUGACCACUUGUAGCCAAACAGUAAAUACCCCUUUAAAAUAUUGACAAUGUUUUAUUUACAUUUAUUUCUUUGAAUUAUUUAAAAAACAGAACAUGAAAUGUAUCAUUUUAACUAUUUCUAAGCACACAAUACCGUUAUGGUAACUGCAUUUAUGUAGUGGAUACAAAAGAUGUCUAGAACUUUUUCAUUUUGAAAAUUGAAACUCUGUACUUCUUAAACCACAACUCUCAAUAUUGCCUCCCCCAGCCCUUGCUAACCACCAUUUGACAAAUUUCACUACCUCAUGUAAGUGGACUCAUAAACUAUUUGUCUUUUUCUAACUUAUUUGACUCAGCAUAAUGUCCUCAAAGGUUCAUCCAACUUGUAAUAUGGGAUAGAACAGAGUUAAAAUGGAGUGGGAAAUGGUGAAGGCUAUGGUAAAAGAUUUGGAGGAAAUACUCUUUUCCUUCUGUUUAUAUAGAUGGUGAGAAAUGGUAGCAGGUCAGUUGGGGCAAGAUUUACAAAGGUGGUGAGAAAAUGCCCACUUUCUUGGACCAGAGCAAAUUCAUUUCCCCAAUGCCCUUUGAGAAGAGCCAGGGGUGGUGAUUUGUGAUGUCAAAGGUCUCCCUUAGUCACUAUUGGCUGGGGAAAGUGCCUCUCUGAACAAACAAAGCUGAGGGUGUGGCUCUGCAUGGUGAUGGUGACAGGUAUUUUGUAAGAUCUCAGGAGUCCUAGCAAGACCACUAGGAGGUUUUAGUAUCAUUAGUUACCAGAAAACUUAGCACAAUUAUAUUAUAAGCAAUAUGAAACAGGUAACCUCCAGCUCAAGAGGUAAGAAGAAGAGGAAUCCAUACCAAUCCAGAUACCGAAAUGCGAACAAGGUGAAGAAGAUGGAAAAGGGGAUAAAAAAACUGCUUCAUUUGACUUCAAGAAAAAAAUCCUCCAAUACUAGGACAAAUAAGGUGAAGAGAGUGAAGAAGUCCAAGAAGUUUCAACCAUUAUCCGGGACUGAUUAGAAGCCAAAGCCAAAUCACUCAGGCCAACCUCCAGGGACUCCACAAGAUAACACUCCUUCAAGACACAAAUCCAUCUGAAGCAAAGCUCCUUACUUCAGAAGAUUGGCAUUUCUGGAGCUGUUUAUUGAAAUUCUGGACCAUGAACUUCUGCCCUGAUGACAGGUGGUUUCUGUGGCCUAGCUCCAGAGAUCUGUCGCUUGGCCCUCAACCCCCACUUGCCAAAUCAUCCUGAAAAAGGAUCUGGCCAACACAUCAGGGACAAGAUACCACCUUGACUGUUCUAGAUUCUUCGAAAUCCUACCAGUCCUGCCAGGGGGAUGUGUUCUGAAGCUCGGAAUAUUUGAAGUGCAGAGAGAAAAAGAUUCUGUCAACUGACACCAUCUAUGACCUAAGAUAACAUCUGCACACAGAGAUCUCCCUGGACAUGUCAUUGUCUCCACUGAAUAAAUCUGGCUACCUUGAUUGUGC